rnacentral:rRNA from 1 species
GACGAACGCUGGCGGCGUGCUUAACACAUGCCAGUCGAACGAUGAAGCCUAGCUUGCUGGGUGGAUUAGUGGCGAACGGGUGAGUAACACGUGAGUAACCUGCCCCUUACUCUGGGAUAAGCGCUGGAAACGGCGUCUAAUACUGGAUAUUACCUUUCAUCGCAUGGUGUUUGGUGGAAAGAUUUUUCGGUUUGGGAUGGACUCGCGGCCUAUCAGCUUGAUGGUGAGGUAGUGGCUCACCAUGGCGACGACGGGUAGCCGGCCUGAGAGGGUGACCGGCCACACUGGGACUGAGACACGGCCCAGACUCCUACGGGAGGCAGCAGUGGGGAAUAUUGCACAAUGGGCGCAAGCCUGAUGCAGCAACGCCGCGUGAGGGAUGACGGCCUUCGGGUUGUAAACCUCUUUUAGUAGGGAAGAAGCGUAAGUGACGGUACCUACAGAAAAAGCACCGGCUAACUACGUG